GUCUUUGUAGUAUAUCCAUUACCCUGGUCUUGUAAACCAGAAAAGGAGAAUUAGCCUCUCCCUAAGACU
rnacentral:tRNA from 3 species